rnacentral:misc_RNA from 1 species
GUGUGUUAUAUCUGUGAUUAGCUUCUGUUACCCGCGUGCUGUGUGAUUAUGUUUAUUGUUUACAUCUACAAUCAUGGUAGAUAAGUGGGUGUACAACACGGUGCUGUGUCAGACAUUCUCGCCAUGCGGUAAUUACAUGUGUGCUGGCAAUACAUAUGGUGAUGUAGCCGUUUACGAUUUACAGAAAAUACUAAGUCCUUCAGAGGAUGUUUCUCCUCCAUUUAGAAAACCAGAAUAUCACUUUCUGGUCAACAAGGAUGUACAAAUAUGUAGCAUGGCCACAACAAGCAAAUUUCUCCUGACUGGUACUGUGGGUGAAAUAAAUGGCUGGGAUUGGAAGUCUGUUACUUCGACAUCAGGGAAAGCUCCCAAGCCAUUAUGGUCUCUUCAGCUUCCUUCAUGCAAGGACAUUCUGGAGAAAGCAGAUGUAAAUUCUUUAGAUUUUAAAGAGGAGCCUGGAUAUAUAUAUGCUGGUUGUGGUGACAACAAAGUUCAUAUUUUCGCUAUAGAAGAUGGGAGGCUUGUUAGAACACUGGAAGGACAUGAAGAUUAUAUUCAUUCAGUACAAAGCUGCUCGGAUAAUCAGAUAGUAUCUGCAAGUGAGGAUGGAACUGUACGUAUUUGGGAUUUAAGACAGACGAGAGCAAUAGCUGUUAUUCAGCCACAUCUGAGUAACAAGGUAGCUCGGCCAGACCUGGGGAAAUGGAUUGGAGCAGCUGCUGUUUGUGAUGACUGGCUUUUGUGUGGAGGUGGCCCACGCUUAGGAGUUUGGCAUUUGAGAUCUAUGGAAGUAACGACGACAUUCAAAUUAGAAGAUUAUGGGAUCCAUGUGGCAAUGUUUUAUGACGAUGGAGUGAUGGCAGGUGGUGCAAGUCCUUAUUUUUACCAGAUGAAUUUAAGUGGUGAUAUCUUGGCACAGAUACCUUCAUCUUCAACAACUGUAUAUUCAGCUGUGUAUCAAGAAGAACCAUUGAAGGUCAUGUGCAUUGCGGGCUCCAGUUCCAAAAUUGAUUUGUGCACAAAUUUCAGCUACAGAGACCAGAUACUCAGUUUCGCUCCGUGAAUACAGAAUCUAAUUUUUUGGUGUAAACGGAGAGGGACUGAGAUUGCGUCUCUGCUUUUGAUACGUAUUACUGUGUGCUGAGAAAACUUUGCAACUUCAUUUAGUGAUAUAUACCGAAUUUUGAAAAGAAGAGGGAGAUGAUAUGUGUUGCAAACUUUACUUGUAGAUUUGUUUGGAGUUCCCUGCAGACACAACAUACUUGAAAAAGUUGGUGACUACUAGUGCAGAUUCGUGUUAAAGAAGGAAAUGGUGCUGUAUUUCUUGUCAGGAAAAUUAAAAAGACUCAUCCCUGUGUGUAAUAUAUGAUCUUUGGUAAAUGUGUUAUUUGGAUAAUAUCAGUUAGUAAGAGACAUAUACCUGUAUUGUAGCAAACAGAUGUAUGGAAACUGGAAGUAGAUACUAUAACUUUUUCUAUGAAGUCAUGAAAUGUGCAAAUGAUACAUGCGUUUUUAUGAAUAAGUGUGCAGUGUACAAAAGUAUUGUGUGGAGAAGAAAAUUAUUUUCUGUGUAUUUUGAUUUUUAAUUGUUGUCACUGGAAUGUGUUGUGUCUGAUUUCUAACAGAGAUAAACCAAUAUCUUUUAA